rnacentral:rRNA from 1 species
GUUGAACGCUGGCGGCAUGCCUUACACAUGCAAGUCGAACGGCAGCGGGCCCUUCGUGGUGCCGUCGCGUGGGGGACGGGUGAGUAAUUCAUCGGAACGUACCCGGGAGAGGGGGAUAACAGAACGUAGGGCUGGCUAAUACCGCACGAGCUCGGAAGAGCAAACCGAGGGACCUUCAGGCAUCGCGCUCUCUGAUGGCCCGAAGUCCGAUUAGGCUAGUUGGUGGGGUAAAGGCCAACCAAGGCGACGAUCGGUAGCGGGUCUGAGAGGACGAUCGGCCACACUGGGACUGAGACACGGCCCAGACUCCUACGGGAGGCAGCAGUGGGGAAUCUUGGACAAUGGGCGCAAGCCUGAUCCAGCAAUGCCGCGUGGGUGAAGAAGGCCUUCGGGUUGUAAAGCCCUUUCGGCGGGGAAGAAAUCGGGCAGGCGAAUAGACUGGCCGGAUGACGGUACCCGCAGAAGAAGCACCGGCUAACUACGUG